UUGGGGAGGGCAUUGAUGAUCUACAAGAGGCAGUAGAAAAUCUAGCUAUUUGAGGUCCAUGAUACAAGCUACUGCCACCCAUAUGUGCACCUAGUGCCUCAUAUAGUAGACAAGCAACGGUCGAGGUGAUGUUGAGUUGUGAAGUUUGCAAUGACUGAUUGGUGUGUAGCAUUUGAGUAGCGGCUUGGAGUUUGUAGUGUUUUGAGUAGUGCCGCGCGUGUUUGUUGGAGUUGCUUAGGGUUGGGUUCUUGUUAUUUUUGUUGUUUUUUAUUUGUUGUAUCGCCCAAUCUAGGCUCUCAUCUUAUUUUUAUUAUAAUCGACAGCUCUCUUGCCUAGUUCGUUUCAAAAAGAUGAAAACGUGAACAACAGAUCAUUCGGCGUUCAACUUUUUUUUAGCAAAAUUGUUGGUAAUACGUAGUUUUGGUAUAUAUACCCCUCCACUUUG
rnacentral:lncRNA from 1 species